UUAUUUUACAAAAGAAAUAAUAGUGUGCAACUUCUAGAUACCUGUAGCCCAUGACCAAAUACCACCAUAUCAGUAUCUCAACCCAGUAACCCCACACUAGGCCAUGAUAAAACCUCAUAGUCCUUGCUAUGUACAAUAUUCUGCACUGUAUAAUCCAGUCUAUAACCUAGAAAUCAUUUGCUCCAACAUCCCUAUCUAGUAUCAGUUGAAUGACUACUUUGUGAAGCUCCAUUCAUGCCAACCAUGGAAUUGCUCCUAGAUUGAGGUUUAUUUUAUUGACAACUUGCUACUCAUUAUAGCUUCUUGUUACUUGCAAAGGACUCUGAGAACUUUAUUACAGUUAGACUUUCAUAUUGUUGUGGUGAAAUCUUGGGGCUAAACAAAUUAUUCCACCAGUUCUUCUGACAUGAGGCAACCCCUGUUACCAUUUGCUAUGCCUGAUUGGCCUUGAGGGUGCCAAGUUCACAGCCUGCUUGUGCUGGUAGUUAAUGUUAAUAAAAGACCCCUUUUUUCCUCUGCUCUGGACUUUCACUCUUCUCUCAAGUCAUCGUGCUGCAUAACUUUCUGGACUACCAAACUCAGUUUAUUUUCUUUUUUUUGUGUGCCAUUUUUAAUGUUCUUCAUAUACAAAGACAUCUGCCUGUGUUUACAAUCUUUAAUCCCAACUGACACAAUGAUCUGAUAGGAUAUAAAAUAAAUACUUAUGAUCUCACGUCCCUUAUUAACAGAAUCACUGGGACACCUUGCAUAUUCCUGGGGGUUUUGCUACAGUAAUGCAAUCCCCUAUUCCAUCCUUAAUAUCAAUCUUUAUGAAACCUGUGAUCUCUAUUCCUAUAUAUCUCUAUUUUCUCUUCUAUAAUCCUAGAGUUCAUGAUGUUUGUAUAUCAUCAUGGCCAAUAAUUUCUAUCCUAGG
rnacentral:lncRNA from 1 species